rnacentral:rRNA from 1 species
GCAAGGUUAACCGUAUAGGGGAGCCGGAGGGAAACCGAGUCUUAAUUGGGCGUUAAGUUGCAGGGUAUAGACCCGAAACCCGGUGAUCUAGCCAUGGGCAGGUUGAAGGUUGGGUAACACUAACUGGAGGACCGAACCGACUAAUGUUGAAAAAUUAGCGGAUGACCUGUGGCUGGGGGUGAAAGGCCAAUCAAACCGGGAGAUAGCUGGUUCUCCCCGAAAGCUAUUUAGGUAGCGCCUCGUGAAUUCAUCUCCGGGGGUAGAGCACUGUUUCGGCUAGGGGGCCAUCCCGGCUUACCAACCCGAUGCAAACUGCGAAUACCGGAGAAUGUUAUCACGGGAGACACACGGCGGGUGCUAACGUCCGUCGUGAAGAGGGAAACAACCCAGACCGCCAGCUAAGGUCCCAAAGUCAUGGUUAAGUGGGAAACGAUGUGGGAAGGCCCAGACAGCCAGGAUGUUGGCUUAGAAGCAGCCAUCAUUUAAAGAAAGCGUAAUAGCUCACUGGUCGAGUCGGCCUGCGCGGAAGAUGUAACGGGGCUAAACCAUG